AUUUGAAAUUAUUAAGUGCUAUUUUGUUUUAGAACAACAGGUAUAAACAGUUGGAUGAUGAUUGAUGAUGAAGAUAAUUGUUGCACAGUAUUGGGCGCUCGUGUGAAGGUGUCAAUAAAUAAUGCACUUUGUCGUCUGCUGGUUGUUUUUUCAGUUAAUUUUAGCCACUACUUAGAAGCGAAUUCAGUAACACACACAUAAAACUAUUUUUUUUAGAAAAAUCAACAUCAACACCCCAUUACCUACGAUUUCUCAGCUCUAGACUGUUCGUCUGUUCCAUAACCGAUUCCAUUCUAAACAAAGCUGCUGACUGAUUAGGUUUUAGGAGAUUGAUUAAAAUCAGCGAUGUUAAUGAAUCAAGUAUCCUGUUCUUCUCGCCCAACAAAUUAUUCUUCUACACUUCCUACUUGCUGUCUUCCUACAAAUGGUAUCUCAUUAUUUCCUUCUCAAUCUUCUUUUCUGUUGUCUUCUCCUUCUUUUUCUUGCCGGAAUUUCGCAAUUGGAAUCCGAAAUUCUCCUAAGAAAUUCUUUCAAUUUAAGAAAUUGCGGGUGAGUUGCGGAACAAAUGAGCCACUCAAGGUUAUGAUUUCAGGGGCUCCGGCUUCUGGCAAAGGAACUCAAUGCCAAUCGAUUGUCGAAAUGUUCGGAGUGGUUCACAUAUCAACUGGAGACCUUCUUAGGGCAGAAGUUGCAGCUGAGACUGAGAUUGGAAUCAAAGCAAAGGAGUACAUGAACACAGGCCGUCUUGUUCCUGAUGAAAUCGUCACAGCUAUGGUUCGAGCACGGCUUUCACUUCAAGAUGUUAAGGAGAAAGGUUGGCUUCUUGAUGGCUAUCCAAGAACUGCAGCUCAAGCUCAGAGUCUUGAGGAAGUUGGGAUCAGACCAGAUGUCUAUGUUGUGCUCGAGGUUCCUGAUGAAAUUCUGAUCAACAGAUGUGUUGGCAGACGCCUUGAUCCAAUGACCGGAAAGAUUUACCACAUUAACAAUUUUCCUCCGGAGACAGAGGAAGUUAAAGCAAGACUUGUCACGCGCCCUGAUGAUACUGAGGAAAAAGUAAGAUCUCGUCUCGAGAUAUAUAAAAGAAAUGUAGAGGCAGUCUUGGCAACCUAUAUCAAAGUAAUGAAAAAGAUCAAUGGAAAUCGCACAAAAGACGUAAUUUUCGAAGAAAUAAGUUCGAUAUUGACCCAAUUGCAGAAUGAGAAAGUGAAGGCUGCUACAACAGGCAUUGCAGUAAUAAAAAGUAGCAGUUCCAAUCUUGCACCUCCAAACCAGUUAAAGUGGAGAGGAAUUCCUACAAGGUUGAAUAACAUUCCACAUUCUAGGGAAAUCAGGGAAUAUUUCUAUGAUGAUGUACUGCAAGCCACGCAGAGAGCUAUAAAUGAUGGGAAAACAAGGUUGAAGGUGGAGAUCAGUAUCCCGGAGCUGAACCCAGCAACGGAUGUUUAUAGAAUUGGGACUUUAAUGGAACUUAUUCGAGUCAUUGCUCUUACAUACGCUGAUGAUGGAAAAAGAGUGAAGGUUUGUGUCCAAGGAUCUAUGGGUGAAGGUGCAUUGGCAGGAAUGCCUUUACAAUUGGCUGGCACUAGGAAAAUAUUAGAGUUCAUGGACUGGGGUGAUUAUGAGGCCAAAGGGACAUUCAUUAACAUUGGCUCCAUAGGUAGCGAAGAGGUUGGAGAACAAGAUGACAUGUUUAUUCUAGUGGCUCCACAGAAUGCUGUUGGAAAUUGCAUCAUCGAUGACCUUAGAGCUAUGACUGAUGCUGCUGGGAGCCGUCCAGUUAUUCUCAUCAAUCCUCGUCUCAAGGACGUCCCUGGUUCAAGUGGAAUUAUGCAGACAAUGGGUCGAGACAAGAGGUUAGAGUAUGCAGCAUCAUUCGAGAGUUGCUACUCCUUUCGGCUUCUCUAUUAUGCAGGAACUCAAUAUCCAAUCAUGGGUGCUCUCAGAAUGUCAUAUCCCUUCCCAUAUGAAGUAUACAAGAGAGUUGAUGAAGCUCCUGGAAAAGAGAAGUAUGUCAUGCUAUCUACAUUCGAGAAGAAACCAACUCCUGAUGAUAUUAACAAUGCAUUUUUAGGGAAGCCAAGAGAAGUAAAGAAUACAUCUAGUUUCUGGGGUUUCUUAAGCGGAAUUCUGAGUUGAAUGCUGGAAAAAUGUGACAUCUGCCAUGAAGAACUUCAACUGUUGUAUCAAUUUUCAUCUGACUUCAGCGCCUCAUCUUCCUCCUGGUGCCUUCUUCAUCUUCGCCCACCAAUCAUUAGGCCAUAACUGUCGGCAGCCUCUUGGCUUUCAGUCACCUUCUGUGCCCAUUACCGCCGGUCGUUGGCAGCCUCUUCAGCCCAUUCAUUUCUGAAGGAUUAAUUAGACCCUCUUCACAAUUUGAAGCUGAAGAUCUAUAUCGAUUCUUACCCACCAUCACCUGGAUUUUCGAUAGUUUUUUUUCAUUUUUAUUUUGCCAUUUAUUUUUCGAUUAAUUGGGUAUGUGUUGAGUAAUUUGCUUAAGUUGAAGAGCUACAUGGAUUCUUCAAAAUUUUAAUCUUUUUUCAUAUUUAAGUAGAAGAUCUACAUGGAUUCUUCACAAUUUUAGUUAUUUUAAACUUCAUUUUUA